rfam:Gossypium raimondii Chr02_contig_721, whole genome shotgun sequence.
UGUUAAAAAUUUCAUCCAUUUGUACUGUUAAAAAUUGAUGUAACUGAUGGAAUAAUAAAACAAUGACACGUGGCAUGCCACGUGUACCUUAUAUUAAUGUAUAAGGAUUAUUUUUUAAUAGUAAAAAAUUGAUGAAAAUUUUAACA